rnacentral:rRNA from 1 species
ACAGCAGUAGCCGCGGUAAAACGUAGGGUGCGAGCGUUAAUCGGAAUUACUGGGCGUAAAGCGUGCGCAGGCGGUUCGGAAAGAGAGAUGUGAAAUCCCAGGGCUUAACCUUGGAACUGCAUUUUUAACUACCGGACUAGAGUGUGUCAGAGGGAGGUGGAAUUCCGCGUGUAGCAGUGAAAUGCGUAGAGAUGCGGAGGAACACCGAUGGCGAAGGCAGCCUCCUGGGAUAACACUGACGCUCAUGCACGAAAGCGUGGGGAGCAAACAGGAUUAGAUACCCCAGUAGUCCCUGUCUCUUAUAC